UACGGGGGGAGCAAGCGUUGUUCGGAUUUACUGGGCGUAAAGGGCGCGUAGGCGGCCUCUGCAAGUCGACUGUGAAAUCUCCGGGCUUAACCCGGAACGGUCAGCCGAUACUGCAGGGCUAGAGUGCAGAAGGGGCAACUGGAAUUCUCGGUGUAGCGGUGAAAUGCGUAGAUAUCGGGAGGAACACCAGUGGCGAAGGCGACUACCUGGCCUGUUCUUGACGCUGAGACGCGAAAGCGUGGGGAGCGAACCGG
rnacentral:rRNA from 1 species